rnacentral:lncRNA from 1 species
AGAUCUCAUGGAGAGACAAGCAAAGGGGAGUGGGUGGCAUGUUUUGCAGAAGGGUGAAUCUCAAACUACACAGGGAAUGAAAGAAUGCUGGACACUGGAGAGAGGGGUGGAAGAGUGGCUCUACAUUUACUGAGUUCUGUGACCUAAGACAAGUCACAGGUUUUUUGUUUGUUUGUUUAUUUUUGAGAUGGAGUCUCAUCCUUUCACCCAAGCUGGAGUGCAGUGGCAUGAUCUCGGCUCACUGCAACCUCUGUCUCCUGGAUUCAAGUGAUUCUCCUGCCUCAGCCUCCCCAGUAGCUGGGACUACAGGUGCGUGCCACCACGCUAGCUAAUUUUUGUAUUUUUUUUUUUAGUAGAGAUGGGGUUUCACCAUGUUGGCCGGGCUGGUUUCUAACUCCCGACCUCAGGUGAUCACCUGCCUCGGCCUCCCAAAGUGCUGGGAUUACAGGCGUGAGCCACCGCGCCCGGCCCUAGGACAAGUCACAUUUUUGAACUGGGCAUUGUGCCGCCAAUCUCAGAUGACAACUUUUUGAUGUAGGGACUAUUUUGGCGUGUCCCACACACAGCAUCAAGGGAGGGGGGUACAAGAAGAAGCAGAGUGAGACCAGAGUGGAGUGGGAGCCAAAACAGGUGGGCGUCUGUGCAGAAAGCAACAUGGAUGCAGCUGGAGGCCAUUAUCUUAAGUGAAUUAACGAAGGAACGGAAAACCAAGAAAGGCAUGUUCUCACUUAUAAGUGGGAGCUAAGCAUUGAGUACUCAAGGACAUAAAGAUGGCAAAAGUACACCCUGGGGACUACUAGAGAGGGGAGGGAGUGAGGGGGGCAAGGGUUGAAAAACUAAUUGUUGGGCACUACACUCACCACCUGGGUAAUGGGAUCAUUUGUAUCUCAAACCUCUGCAUCACGAAAUAUACCCAUGUAGCAAACCUGUGCAUGUACUCCCUGAAUCUAAAAUAAAAGCUGAAAUUAUAAAAUAAAAAUAGAACAAUCG